rnacentral:rRNA from 1 species
CUAGUAUAAGCAUUAUACAGCGAAACUGCGAAUGGCUCAUUAUAUAAGUUAUCGUUUAUUUGAUAGUACCUUACUACUUGGAUAACCGUGGUAAUUCUAGAGCUAAUACAUGCUAAAAAUCCCGACUUCGGAAGGGAUGUAUUUAUUAGAUUAAAAACCAAUGCCCUCUGGGCUCCUUGGUGAUUCAUAAUAACUUUUCGAAUCGCAUGGCCUUGCGCCGGCGAUGGUUCAUUCAAAUUUCUUCCCUAUCAACUUUCGAUGUUUGGGUAUUGGCCAAACAUGGUCGCAACGGGUAACGGAGGGUUAGGGCUCGACCCCGGAGAAGGAGCCUGAGAAACGGCUACUACAUCCAAGGAAGGCAGCAGGCGCGCAAAUUACCCAAUCCCGAUUCGGGGAGGUAGUGACAAUAAAUACUGAUACAGGGCUCUUUUGGGUCUUGUAAUUGGAAUGAGUACAAUUUAAAUCCCUUAACGAGGAACAAUUGGAGGGCAAGUCUGGUGCCAGCAGCCGCGGUAAUUCCAGCUCCAAUAGCGUAUAUUAAAGUUGUUGUGGUUAAAAAGCUCGUAGUUGAACCUUGGGCCUGGCUGGCCGGUCCGCCUCACCGCGUGUACUGGUCCGGCCGGGCCUUUCCCUCUGUGGAACCUCAUGCCCUUCACUGGGUGUGGCGGGGAAACAGGACUUUUACUUUGAAAAAAUUAGAGUGCUCCAGGCAGGCCUAUGCUCGAAUACAUUAGCAUGGAAUAAUGAAAUAGGACGUGUGGUUCUAUUUUGUUGGUUUCUAGGACCGCCGUAAUGAUUAAUAGGGACAGUCGGGGGCAUCAGUAUUCAAUUGUCAGAGGUGAAAUUCUUGGAUUUAUUGAAGACUAACUACUGCGAAAGCAUUUGCCAAGGAUGUUUUCAUUAAUCAGGAACGAAAGUUAGGGGAUCGAAGACGAUCAGAUACCGUCGUAGUCUUAACCAUAAACUAUGCCGACUAGGGAUCGGACGAUGUUAUUUUUUGACGCGUUCGGCACCUUACGAGAAAUCAAAGUGCUUGGGCUCCAGGGGGA